rnacentral:rRNA from 1 species
UCAAGUGAAGAAGCGCAUACGGUGGAUGCCUUGGCAGUCAGAGGCGAUGAAAGACGUGGUAGCCUGCGAAAAGCUUCGGGGAGUCGGCAAACAGACUUUGAUCCGGAGAUCUCUGAAUGGGGGAACCCACCUAGGAUAACCUAGGUAUCUUGUACUGAAUCCAUAGGUGCAAGAGGCGAACCAGGGGAACUGAAAACAUCUAAGUACCCUGAGGAAAAGAAAUCAACCGAGAUUCCCUUAGUAGUGGCGAGCGAACGGGGAUUAGCCCUUAAGCUUCAUUGAUUUUAGCGGAACGCUCUGGAAAGUGCGGCCAUAGUGGGUGAUAGCCCCGUACGCGAAAGGAUCUUUGAAGUGAAAUCGAGUAGGACGGAGCACGAGAAACUUUGUCUGAACAUGGGGGGGACCAUCCUCCAAGGCUAAAUACUACUGACUGACCGAUAGUGAACCAGUACCGUGAGGGAAAGGCGAAAAGAACCCCGGAGAGGGGAGUGAAAUAGAACCUGAAACCGUAUGCGUACAAGCAGUGGGAGCCUACUUGUUAGGUGACUGCGUACCUUUUGUAUAAUGGGUCAGCGACUUAUAUUCAGUGGCAAGCUUAACCGUAUAGGGUAGGCGUAGCGAAAGCGAGUCUUAAUAGGGCGUUUAGUCGCUGGGUAUAGACCCGAAACCGGGCGAUCUAUCCAUGAGCAGGUUGAAGGUUAGGUAACACUGACUGGAGGACCGAACCCACUCCCGUUGAAAAGGUAGGGGAUGACUUGUGGAUCGGAGUGAAAGGCUAAUCAAGCUCGGAGAUAGCUGGUUCUCCUCGAAAGCUAUUUAGGUAGCGCCUCAUGUAUCACUCUGGGGGGUAGAGCACUGUUUCGGCUAGGGGGUCAUCCCGACUUACCAAACCGAUGCAAACUCCGAAUACCCAGAAGUGCCGAGCAUGGGAGACACACGGCGGGUGCUAACGUCCGUCGUGAAAAGGGAAACAACCCAGACCGCCAGCUAAGGUCCCAAAGUUGUGGUUAAGUGGUAAACGAUGUGGGAAGGCUUAGACAGCUAGGAGGUUGGCUUAGAAGCAGCCACCCUUUAAAGAAAGCGUAAUAGCUCACUAGUCGAGUCGGCCUGCGCGGAAGAUGUAACGGGGCUCAAACCACACACCGAAGCUGCGGGUGUCACGUAAGUGACGCGGUAGAGGAGCGUUCUGUAAGCCUGUGAAGGUGAGUUGAGAAGCUUGCUGGAGGUAUCAGAAGUGCGAAUGCUGACAUGAGUAACGACAAUGGGUGUGAAAAACACCCACGCCGAAAGACCAAGGGUUCCUGCGCAACGUUAAUCGACGCAGGGUUAGUCGGUUCCUAAGGCGAGGCUGAAAAAGCGUAGUCGAUGGGAAACAGGUUAAUAUUCCUGUACUUCUGGUUACUGCGAUGGAGGGACGGAGAAGGCUAGGCCAGCUUGGCGUUGGUUGUCCAAGUUUAAGGUGGUAGGCUGAAAUCUUAGGUAAAUCCGGGGUUUCAAGGCCGAGAGCUGAUGACGAGUCGUCUUUUAGAUGACGAAGUGGUUGAUGCCAUGCUUCCAAGAAAAGCUUCUAAGCUUCAGGUAACCAGGAACCGUACCCCAAACCGACACAGGUGGUCGGGUAGAGAAUACCAAGGCGCUUGAGAGAACUCGGGUGAAGGAACUAGGCAAAAUGGCACCGUAACUUCGGGAGAAGGUGCGCCGGCUAGGGUGAAGGAUUUACUCCGUAAGCUCUGGCUGGUCGAAGAUACCAGGCCGCUGCGACUGUUUAUUAAAAACACAGCACUCUGCAAACACGAAAGUGGACGUAUAGGGUGUGACGCCUGCCCGGUGCCGGAAGGUUAAUUGAUGGGGUUAGCGCAAGCGAAGCUCUUGAUCGAAGCCCCGGUAAACGGCGGCCGUAACUAUAACGGUCCUAAGGUAGCGAAAUUCCUUGUCGGGUAAGUUCCGACCUGCACGAAUGGCGUAACGAUGGCGGCGCUGUCUCCACCCGAGACUCAGUGAAAUUGAAAUCGCUGUGAAGAUGCAGUGUAUCCGCGGCUAGACGGAAAGACCCCGUGAACCUUUACUGUAGCUUUGCACUGGACUUUGAGCCUGCUUGUGUAGGAUAGGUGGGAGGCUUUGAAGCGUGGACGCCAGUUCGCGUGGAGCCAUCCUUGAAAUACCACCCUGGCAUGCUUGAGGUUCUAACUCUGGUCCGUGAUCCGGAUCGAGGACAGUGUAUGGUGGGCAGUUUGACUGGGGCGGUCUCCUCCUAAAGAGUAACGGAGGAGUACGAAGGUGCGCUCAGACCGGUCGGAAAUCGGUCGCAGAGUAUAAAGGCAAAAGCGCGCUUGACUGCGAGACAGACACGUCGAGCAGGUACGAAAGUAGGUCUUAGUGAUCCGGUGGUUCUGUAUGGAAGGGCCAUCGCUCAACGGAUAAAAGGUACUCCGGGGAUAACAGGCUGAUACCGCCCAAGAGUUCAUAUCGACGGCGGUGUUUGGCACCUCGAUGUCGGCUCAUCACAUCCUGGGGCUGAAGCCGGUCCCAAGGGUAUGGCUGUUCGCCAUUUAAAGUGGUACGCGAGCUGGGUUUAGAACGUCGUGAGACAGUUCGGUCCCUAUCUGCCGUGGACGUUUGAGAUUUGAGAGGGGCUGCUCCUAGUACGAGAGGACCGGAGUGGACGAACCUCUGGUGUUCCGGUUGUCACGCCAGUGGCAUUGCCGGGUAGCUAUGUUCGGAAAAGAUAACCGCUGAAAGCAUCUAAGCGGGAAACUUGCCUCAAGAUGAGAUCUCACUGGGAACUUGAUUCCCCUGAAGGGCCGUCGAAGACUACGACGUUGAUAGGCUGGGUGUGUAAGCGUUGUGAGGCGUUGAGCUAACCAGUACUAAUUGCCCGUGAGGCUUGACCAU